UCUGUUUCUUGGCACUAUUAGGUUGAAACUUUGAAUGACAGUUCCUUUCUCAUUGACUAGAAUACCCCUAUUAAUCUCUCCCUUCUUUUACCCUUUUCUUCUCUUCCCUAGAGAGAAAAAGAAAACUUUAUUUUCUUAUGCUGUUUUGUCCCUAUCUAAAUUUCUCACAUUCAGUAUAUGGAAAUUAAAUUUACCACAAUAUGACAGACAUUUUCGGUUUUAAAGUUUAACAUAAAAAAUUCAUAUUAGAAAAAUAAUUUGUGAUUAAAUCGAGUUCAAUAUCAGUUAUGUUGUUGUAUUUAACAUCCAUCCAUAUGAGAAAAGUGUGUGUUGUUAGAAGUGAAAGCAAUAAUCAGAAAAUCAAAGAGAAGGAAUAAGAUGGUGAGGAAUGUUCAAUUUCAAGUAUCAUCAUUACUCUCUAUGCAGUGGUUUCCUGGUCAUAUAUACUGCAAAAGCAGAAAAGGAACUCAAGGAGCAGCUUAAGUUACUAGGUUGAUACAUCUUAAUUUUUCAUCUAUCUGUUACUCUUACUUUUGUAAUAAAAAGAGAAUUUUGGUUUUAAAUAGAGAAGCUUGCACUUCAUCUGUUCAAUGGAGAUUUCAGAAAAGGUAGGUUUGGUUGGACUGCAUUGGAGAGGCCUCCUAGGUGAUCUCGGAUAUUUGCUUUUAGAAAUAAAAUUCUGUGAAGCUAAAACUGAAUCAUGCUGGAGAUCUCUAGGAGCAGACAGCAUAACUCAAUCCCUCAUGGUGAUGCUAUAAUUGUGAAUGCAUGGUAUCAUGAAAAGGAAAUAUCUUGAAUUUUCUGUAAAGAUUUGAGGCACACUAAACAAAGGAUUUGAACCAAUAGAUGCUUCAUGUUAUUACCAUGUAAUUAUUCUUCGGUAUGAUGUAACAUGCUCUAUAUUGUAUACUACUAGUGUUGUGCCAUAGGAUUUUUUGUAUGCAUCAUGCUUAUUGUGUAUCUUUAAUUCUUUAUUUUAGUGUGUUGAUGAUUUAAACUA